UGCCAGCCGCCGCGGUAAUACGGAGGGUGCAAACGUUGCUCGGAAUUAUUGGGCGUAAAGCGCGUGUAGGCGGUAAGUUAAGUCGGAUGUGAAAGCCCUGGGCUCAACCCAGGAAGUGCGUCCGAUACUGGCUCACUGGAGUAUGGGAGAGGGUUGCGGAAUUCCCGGUGUAGAGGUGAAAUUCGUAGAUAUCGGGAGGAAUACCGGUGGCGAAGGCGACCACCUGGCCAGAUACUGACGCUGAGGUGCGAAAGCGUGGGGAGCAAACAGGAUUAGAUA
rnacentral:rRNA from 1 species